rnacentral:lncRNA from 1 species
CUCUAUGAGGUCUCUCUAUGGGGUCUCUCUAUGGGUCUCUCUAUGGGUCUCUAUGGGUCUCUCUAUGGGGUCUCUAUGGGUCUCUAUGGGUCUCUCUAUGGGUCUCUAUGGGGUCUCUAUGGGUCUCUAUGGGUCGCAGUGGGUCGCUAUGGGUCUCACCGUGCAGCAUCCAGACGCACUCUCCCAUGACGGAAUAGUUCCCGGCGCCGUCGCUCAAAGCCCCGCCCCCUUUCAGGCUCCACCUCUUCCCGGUGCAAGCCCCGCCCUCUGCCCCGCCCACCGCCACCAGCAGCAUUAGCCACGCCCACAAAAGGGGCGGGGCCAUGGUGCCCCGGGGGCGGGGCUUCGGGGAAGGGGCGUGGUUUAGCGGAGAGGGGGCGUGGUCUUCGCGGAGUGGGCGGGGCUUCGUGCUGGAAAGAGAGAGAGACAGGGUGGGGGUUAGGGGGCUCGGACCCAUAGCGCGCCCCAUA